rnacentral:rRNA from 1 species
GACGAACCGUACGAACGUUAUUCGGAAUCACUGGGCUUAAAGGGUGCGUAGGCUGCGCAGAAAGUUGGGUGUGAAAUCCCUCGGCUUAACCGAGGAACUGCGCCCAAAACUACUGUGCUCGAGGGAGACAGAGGUGAGCGGAACUUAGGGUGGAGCGGUGAAAUGCGUUGAUAUCCUAAGGAACACCGGUGGCGUAAGCGGCUCACUGGGUCUCUUCUGACGCUGAGGCACGAAAGCUAGGGUAGCGAACAGG